AACGAACGCUGGCGGCAGGCCUAACACAUGCAAGUCGAGCGAACCCUUCGGGGUUAGCGGCGGACGGGUGAGUAACGCGUGGGAACGUGCCCUUUGCUACGGAAUAGCCCCGGGAAACUGGGAGUAAUACCGUAUGUGCCCUUCGGGGGAAAGAUUAUCGGCAAAGGAUCGGCCCGCGUUGGAUUAGGUAGUUGGUGGGGUAAUGGCCUACCAAGCCGACGAUCCAUAGCUGGUUUGAGAGGAUGAUCAGCCACACUGGGACUGAGACACGGCCCAGACUCCUACGGGAGGCAGCAGUGGGGAAUCUUAGACAAUGGGCGCAAGCCUGAUCUAGCCAUGCCGCGUGAUCGAUGAAGGCCUUAGGGUUGUAAAGAUCUUUUCAGUGGGGAAGAUAAUGACUGUACCCACAGAAGAAGCCCCGGCUAACUCCGUG
rnacentral:rRNA from 1 species